rnacentral:rRNA from 1 species
GAUGAACGCUGGCGGCGUGCCUAAUACAUGCAAGUCGAGCGAACAGACGAGGAUCUUGCUUCUCUGACGUUAGCGGCGGACGGGUGAGUAACACGUGGAUAACCGACCUAUGAGACUGGGAUAACUUCGGGAAACCGGAGCUAAUACCGGACAAUAUAUUGAACCGCAUGGUUCAAUAGUGAAAGACGGUUUUGCUGUCACUUGUAGAUGGAUCCGCGCCGCAUUAGCUAGUUGGUAAGGUAACGGCUUACCAAGGCAACGAUGCGUAGCCGACCUGAGAGGGUGAUCGGCCACACUGGAACUGAGACACGGUCCAGACUCCUACGGGAGGCAGCAGUAGGGAAUCUUCCGCAAUGGGCGAAAGCCUGACGGAGCAACGCCGCGUGAGUGAUGAAGGUCUUCGGAUCGUAAAACUCUGUUAUUAGGGAAGAACAAAUGUGUAAGUAACUAUGCACGUCUUGACGGUACCUAAUCAGAAAGCAACGGCUAACUACGUG